UACGAAGGGGGCUAGCGUUGUUCGGAAUCACUGGGCGUAAAGCGCACGUAGGCGGAUCUUUAAGUCAGGGGUGAAAUCCCGAGGCUCAACCUCGGAACUGCCUUUGAUACUGGGGAUCUCGAGUCCGGGAGAGGUGAGUGGAACUGCGAGUGUAGAGGUGAAAUUCGUAGAUAUUCGCAAGAACACCAGUGGCGAAGGCGGCUCACUGGCCCGGUACUGACGCUGACGGUGCGAAAGCGUGGGGAGCAAACAGGG
rnacentral:rRNA from 1 species